UGAGGAAUAUUGGUCAAUGGGCGUAAGCCUGAACCAGCCAAGUCGCGUGAAGGAUGACUGCCCUAUGGGUUGUAAACUUCUUUUGUAAGGGGAGAAUAAAUUCUACGUGUAGGAUGAUGACAGUACCUUACGAAUAAGCCCCGGCUAACUACGUGCCAGCAGCCGCGGUAAUACGUAGGGGGCGAGCGUUGUCCGGAAUGACUGGGUGUAAAGGGUGUGUAGGUGGUUUGAUAAGUUAGAAGUGUAAUACCCAGGGCUUAACUCGGGUGCUGCUUCUAAAACUGUCAGACUUGAGUGCAGGAGAGGAUAGUGGAAUUCCUAGUGUAGCGGUGGAAUGCGUAGAUAUUAGGAGGAACAUCAGUGGCGAAGGCGACUAUCUGGACUGUAACUGACACUGAGGCACGAAAGCGUGGGGAGCAAACA
rnacentral:rRNA from 1 species